GAUGAACGCUGGCGGCGUGCCUAAUACAUGCCAGUCGAGCGAACAGACGAGGAGCUUGCUCCUCUGACGUUAGCGGCGGACGGGUGAGUAACACGUGGAUAACCUACCUAUAAGACUGGGAUAACUUCGGGAAACCGGAGCUAAUACCGGAUAAUAUAUUGAACCGCAUGGUUCAAUAGUGAAAGACGGUUUUGCUGUCACUUAUAGAUGGAUCCGCGCCGCAUUAGCUAGUUGGUAAGGUAACGGCUUACCAAGGCAACGAUGCGUAGCCGACCUGAGAGGGUGAUCGGCCACACUGGAACUGAGACACGGUCCAGACUCCUACGGGAGGCAGCAGUAGGGAAUCGUCCGCAAUGGGCGAAAGCCUGACGGAGCAACGCCGCGUGAGUGAUGAAGGUCUUCGGAUCGGAAAACUCUGUUAUUAGGGAAGAACAAAUGUGGAAGUAACUAUGCACGUCUUGACGGUACCUAAUCAGAAAGCCACGGCUAACUACGUG
rnacentral:rRNA from 1 species